rnacentral:rRNA from 1 species
UGGAAAGGUAAGCCGGAGAGGGUGACAGCCCCGUACGAGUAGAAAAGCUGACUGUUCUUGAGUAAGGCGGAGCACGAGAAAUUCUGUCUGAAAAUGGGGAGACCACUCUCCAAGGCUAAGUACUACUGAUUGACCGAUAGUGAACAAGUACCGUGAGGGAAAGGUGAAAAGCACCCCUAUAAGGGGAGUGAAAGAGAACCUGAAACCGGAUGCCUACAAGCAGUCGGAGGGUCUAUAAGGCCUGACGGCGUACCUUUUGUAUAAUGGGUCAGCGACUUAAUUUAUGUAGCAAGCUUAAGCCGAUAGGUGUAGGCGUAGAGAAAUCGAGUGUUAACAGCGCGUUAAGUUACAUGAAUUAGACCCGAAACCGAGUGAUCUAGCCAUGAUCAGGUUGAAGGUUGGGUAACACCAACUGGAGGACCGAACCCACUCCCGUUGAAAAGGUAGGGGAUGAAUUGUGGCUAGGGGUGAAAGGCCAAUCAAACUCGGAAAUAGCUGGUUCUCCGCGAAAACUAUUUAGGUAGUGCGGUGAGCGGACACCUUGAGGGGUAGAGCACUGGAAGAGCUAAGGGGGAGCGAUCCUUACUAAACUUUACCAAACUCCGAAUACUCAAGAGUGAUACUCACCAGACAGACAUUAGGUGCUAAGGUCUAGUGUCGAGAGGGAAAGAGCCCAGACCGCCAAUUAAGGUCCCAAAAUUAUGGCUAAGUGGUAAAGGAAGUGAAACGUCCAAAACAGUCAGGAGGUUGGCUUAGAAGCAGCCAUCCUUUAAAGAAAGCGUAAUAGCUCACUGAUCUAAACAAGACGUCUUGCGCCGAAGAUGUAACGGGGCUAAAGCCAUAUACCGAAGUUGCGGAUUUACACGUUAAAGUGUAAGUGGUAGCGGAGCGUUCUGUAAGCCUGCGAAGGUGUACCGUAAGGUAUGCUGGAGGUAUCAGAAGUGAGAAUGCUGACAUGAGUAGCGAAAAGAAGAGUGAGAGACUCUUCCGCUGAAAGUCCAAGGUUUCCUGCGUAAAGCUAAUCUGCGCAGGGUUAGUCGGUCCCUAAGGCGAGGCAGAGAUGCGUAGUCGAUGGCAAUCAGGUUAAUAUUCCUGAACCGGCCCGGAAGUGACGGAUUGAGUAAAUUGUAAGUUCUUAUUGGAUUGAGCUUGCAGUGAAUCAGUCCCAGGAAAUAGCCCGGGCUAAGACCGUACCCGAAACCGACACAGGUGGACAGGUAGAGAAUACCAAAGCGCUUGAGAGAACUAUGUUGAAGGAACUAGGCAAAAUACUUGCGUAACUUCGGGAUAAGCAAGCCCCAUUUUAAGGCAACUUAGGGUGGGGGGCACAUACUAGGGGGUAGCGACUGUUUACUAAAAACACAGGGCUCUGCUAAAUUGAAAGAUGAAGUAUAGGGUCUGACGCCUGCCCGGUGCUGGAAGGUUAAGGAGAGAUGUGCAAGCAUUGAACUGAAGCCCCAGUAAACGGCGGCCGUAACUAUAACGGUCCUAAGGUAGCGAAAUUCCUUGUCGGGUAAGUUCCGACCUGCACGAAUGGCGUAACGACUUCCCCGCUGUCUCCAACAUAGGCUCAGCGAAAUUGAACUCUGAGUUAAGAUGCUCAGUACCCGCGGUUAGACGGAGAGACCCCGUGAACCUUUACUAUAGCUUUGCAGUGGUAUUAGGUAACAAAUGUGUAGAAUAGGUGGGAUGCUAUGAAGCUACGACGCCAGUUGUAGUGGAGCAGACUUUGAAAUACCACCCUUUUGUUGUUUGAUAUCUAACCUGCUCCCGUUAUCCGGGAGAGGGACCCUGCAUGGUGGGUAGUUUGACUGGGGCGGUCGCCUCCCAAAGAGUAACGGAGGCGCGCAAAGGUUGGCUCAGAUUGGUCAGAAAUCAAUCGUUGAGUGCAAUGGCAUAAGCCAGCCUGACUGCGAGAGCGACGGUUCGAGCAGAUACGAAAGUAGGUCAUAGUGAUCCGGUGGUCCCGAGUGGAAGGGCCAUCGCUCAACGGAUAAAAGGUACUCCGGGGA